AUGACGGAUCCUUAACCCACUGAGUGAGGCCAGUGAUCGAACCUGCAUCCUCACGGACUCUACGUCAUGUUCUUAACCUGCUGAUCCUCAGUGGGAACUCCCAGUGAGUCUCAAAUGAGUAAUCGAGGUCUAGCACUGGAUCUCAGAGCUCGCCCUCCCCGAUCCCAGCCUUACCACCCUGUCCUCAAACAAACCAGCCAAAGGUAAAGGCAGUAAAAUCCCACCAACUGAAUCUUUUUCCCUUUUCUGGAGAGCUCUUCUGCCCUCCGCAAUGUUGUCUACCUCGUCUCUCUGACCCCACUGUCUGAGACUCUAAGAAGAAAGAAAGAAAGAAAAAAAAAAAAGAACUUUAUUAAGAGAAAAUGGAGAACCUCUUAUUUUAGUAAAUAUGUCUUAAAGCACUAUUUAUUAUCUUUUUUUUCUUUUUUUUUCCUGAGUCAUCUUCCAGCCAAAUGACUCGAAUUUAAGAGCCCUUCUUCCUACUUAAAAGAAAAAUGUAGGCAUUUUUUCCUGCCAUUUUUCCAUCUUUGUGUGAUACCCUGCAGCCUCCCCACCUCUUCUCUGCCUACCCCAUUCCUACACACAUACUCAGGUCUGCUGCAAAGCUAGCAUCUGGCUCGGACAUCCGUCCUCACUGCCCCAGCCUGAGGAUCAUCACUCUGCUUUGAAAUUACAGAGCUGCAAUCCUAUGUGGAGUAGAUUUGGCCCUUGACUGUGUAGUAUCCUAUGCCAUAGUUUUCCUUAGUACCCAGCCUGAUAUUUAGAUAUUUCAGUUUUAGUUCACUUUAGACAUAGUUAUCCCUUAUCAAAAGAUGCUAGAUUAAAAUUUGCUAAUAAAAUCUAUGACCUGUACCUCUGUUCCCCUGUGUGUCUAGCCUACAUUCAUCCAUUCAACAAUUACUUUCUGAGCUCCGCAGCAGUGGAGUGAUUGAUUAAUAACCAAAAUACGGUGAAAUAUAUGUACAUAAUUGAAUAUAAUACCUGAUAUUUCACAAUCCAAGUAUUUUCACAUCUCAUUGUCCUUGUGACAUCCUUCUGAAGUAGAUGGGAAAAGGUAAUAUGUCAUGCAAAGCAUUUAAUUAGUAAAUUCACUUUGACAGUGUUUCAAGUCAGGAUGUGAAAAAAAAAGAUAUUAAGUGGAAUAAUAUAAAAUUUAACUGUGACAUGUCAAACAAACUCUUGGAGCAGAUACAUAAAAAUACCAAAGAAGAACAGUGAUUUAAAAACUAAACAACAGUGGAUCGAUUUAUGGCUUAUUUAGCCAAAUCAGCAAUCUGGAAAAGGUACCUCUUAAAUUUGGACUGAAAGCUUGACAGAGAGAAAGACAGCCUGACCUCCAUGGUUAAUAAAUUCCAUAAGUAGAGAGCAAACAUUAAAAAUGCCCCGUAGCUCAAUGUCUUCAGCCAAAAAGAACUAAUCCAAUUGACUGAGACCAAAGAAAACGACUGGGGAUGUAUGGUUCCAGGAUGUCUCUGAGGUAUUCAAAACCAAGUCAAUUUAAGGACUUGUAAGUUAAUAACUAGGACUUUACACAUAAUCCUGUACUUUACAGGUAGCCAGUGAAGGUUUUUUACAACCAGGGUAAUGUGAUUUUCAUGCUUGGUGUCAGUCAGCAUGUCAGUUACUGAGUUCCAGACCAAGAGAAGUUCCUUGAUCAAUCCAUUAAGCGAGUCCCCCGGAACACGGGCAUGGGGGCGCAGCUCGGAGCCCCACAGAGGCAGGAGGUCACAAACACACGUAGGGAAGUGAGAGCCGUGGACAGCCGCCACGGUGAAGGCUGGUUCAUCGGGCCUUUAAGUGUGUAUUUAGUAAAUAUUAAAUAGGAAGCUAAAAGAUAUCUCGGAUCAAAUAUUAAGUGCAAAUUCAUAAUAGAAAUCUUGGGAGCUAACAACCUUCAAAGCUACAGUUCUGGGCAAUAUACGGAUUUACAGUAACGGUGAGAACCCAGAAGCAAUACGAGUUUCUUCUUAGUGUGAUUCAUCAUCAGCGUUUAAUAGUCAGGCCAAGAAUAUCCAGAGGUUAAGUGGCUACAGAGUGAAUUUAAGUUUCAAAGGGUAAAGAUGACUAUUUUUUAAUACUGCAUAGUGUCAGAUGAAUAUUUUAAAUACAUUGAUUGGAUGCUUUUUUUGAAAAAAGGUUCCAAAAGCUCGUGUGUGUGUGUGUGUGUGUGUGUGUGUGUGCGCGCUUUUUAUUAUUUCAGUGGGAAUAUUGUCAUGUUAGAUGAUAAGAUCUUUAGAUUUAAUAUUGACUAAUAUUUAGAAAAAUGAAAUAAGAAAAGCAACAAAACCAUCAGUUGUAGACCUAAUGUGCUCCAACCACAGUACUAGGUCCUUGACACACGUUCUUUUAUUCUGAUUUUAAUAUCACAAGAUAAAUGGCAUCAGCUGGACAAAAAAAAAAAAAAAAAAAAGCUAGGAGGCAGAAACUCAAAGAAUAACUUAUGCUGCUCUAGCCCCAGACCCCUCAAAAUUUGUUCCAUAAACCAGAAACAUCAGCAUCACUUGGGAAGUGAUUAGAAAUGAGGAUCUCAGGCUCCACUCCAGUUAUUCUGAAUCAGAAUCUGCCUCCAUCAGCAGCCACAAAGCUCUGAAAGGUCUCUUCCUAGCAUCCCUUGAGUGAAUUCUCUUAGAGAAUCUGGGGAAGGAGGCAGACAGGUGAUGUGACCAAGCUGCUGGCUUGCCAACCAUCCCUGCCACGCAAAUGAACAGUGUCCCGAGGGGCUGCUCCCCCACCAAGUGCAUCGUCAAGGGUUCUUGGAGAAGGAUCAGUGGUUAAAAAAAAAAUUAAUAAACAAGAUAUCUUUGACUGGCAGAGAGCACGAGAGCUCGUGGGCUCUCAAGAAGGGUCACUCCUCCCAGAUUUAUUGAGCCACAGCCAUAUUUACAAAAUAGAGGUUAAGAUUCUGGUUCUGGAGCCUUCUGCCUGGAUUUGAUUUCAGAUCUGCUUCAUAGCCUUGGACAAACAGCUGGAAGUUGUAAGUUCUGAUUUCUCACAGUUAAAAGAGUAGCCAACUAACAUCAACCUCAAACUUAUGAAGCAACCUUAAGAUUUUACAGGUUUAAUUAUUUUAUUUUAUUUUAUUUUAUUUUUUGAGCAUAGCAAAGUUUUAUUUAGUGUUUUUUUCAGACACAACUCAUAGACUUGUUUUUGCCAUUUUAAAAAUUCUUCAAAUUCAUUAAUUUCUGCCUUCCUUAUUCUUUGCUACUGUUUCAUUCUAUAGCUUUUUUUCCCCCUCUAAACUAUUUUACUUUUAAAACUCUGUAUUGGAUGCUUAAUUCACUUAAAUCUUAAUUGUAAGCAUUUAAUGCUACAGAUUUUCCUCUAAGCACUGCUUCAGCAAGAUUUCAUAGUCUCCCAUAUAUCAUGUUUUAAUUUUUGUUGUUUUCUAAAUUUUCUGCAAUUGCAGUUUCAAGAAUUAUUUAAAUCAUAUGUUAUAUGAUUUAACAAGUGUUCUUUAAUUUCUAGGAGGUACAGAGGAUUUUUCUACUUUUACCACUAAUUUCUGAUGCCAAUUUCACAACUGUCAUCAAAGAAUAUUGUCUGUUUCUAUUUGGGCGAGUUUAUUGCCAUUUUCUUUUUCUUUUUCUUUCUUUCUUUCUUUUUUUUUUUUUUUUUUUUGCCCCUAGAGGUUUAAUUAUUUUAGAUAUAAAUUCAUAGCUGCAAUAUCUUUGCACCCCCUCCCAAUCGAUGUGUUAAAAUCCUCCUCCGUUAUCUCUUACCCAUAAUACAGUAGAUUAGAUGACAUCACUACAGUCAACUGAUGGAACUACCAUCCCUCCAUUCAGUGAAGACAACCUGAGCCCCUAUUCUGUUGCUGAUACUGGAGCUACAGCAAUGAACAUAACUGUUGGGGUCAAAGGCUCUCAUGGUGCUUCACGUCUACCAGGUCAAAUACAAUCAUCACAUUUCUAGCUACUCUCCUAAGUGUUAUUCCCAUUUAAACUCGGAUUCAUUUUUGUAAUAACACUGUAUGGGAUAGACCAAUAUACCUUUAUAUUUGUAUGUCUGUUGUCGUUUGGAUAUAUAACAACACAAUCAGAAACCUCUUCUGUGUUGUAUGUUUAGGCAUAGUUUCUUUCAGUUCCCACAUACUCCUUUCUGUAGUGAAAAGCCUUCAGAGUCCUAAGAGAUGGCAGUAAAGCCCAUAAAUAUGUAAAAUUCUCAUUGAAUUAAUAGACCUGCUUUGGGCCUUUUUUUUUUUUUUUUGGUUUGUUAGAAUAUAAAAAUCUGGCAAGUUCUCUAAAACUAUAUCACUUAGGUCUCUUGGGGGGAAAUGUGAGAACAGAGGAGUACAGUGUAAGCAUCAGUAGUCAUUGCAUCUCUAGAUAGCUCUGCCAGGUCUCCAAGGGCUGCAAAAGACAAUUUGUCAACUUCACAUCAGCUGCAGGAGCUAUGGAAGAAGACUGACUUUUCAUCCAGCCGUGGAUGUGCAGAAGCAGCAUGCAAAGCCAGAGAACGGAGGCGAAGGGUGGAGGGAGGGAAUUUAAGGCUCCCCCUGCCUUCCUCCAUUCCCUCCACUCCUGGCACAUCACCUCCCUAGCCUGGCCUUACGUUCCUUCCUUCUCCACCACUAAUCACACACACUGAUAGGCAUUUAGCUACAUUUAUGUUAUGGUCCAUAGGUAAAAACAACAACAAAACCUGGCUCCUUAGCCAAAAGGCAGCUGGAACUUUGUACCUAGAGAGAUAAACUAGUAAAACUAGGUUUCAUAAAAGUGGGAUCAUAUACUAUUUGUCCUUUUAUGUCUGGUUUAUUUCACUUGGCAUAAGGUUUUAAAGGUUCAUCCAUGUUGAACCCUAUAACUUCAUUUAUUUUAUGGUUGAAUAACAUCCCAUUGUAUGUAUAUAUCACAUUUAAAAAAUUCAUUCUCUGUUGAUGCACACUUGGAUUGUUUUCAUCUUUUGGCCAUUAUGUUGCAAUGAAAUUUGGCACGCAAAUGUCUGCCUGGGUCCCUAUUUUCAAUUCUUUAAGGUAUACACUUAGGAGCAGAAUUGCUGGGUCUGGUGCCAAUUACAUUAUUAGCUUCUUGAGGAGCCACCAAACUGUUUUCCACAGUGGCUGUACCAUUUUACAUUCCUCUCAAGUAAUGUGCAAGGGUUCCAGUUUCUCCACAUCUUGCCAACACUUGUUAUUCUCUUUCUUUUUUGUAAUUAUGCCAUUCUAGUAGGUGUGGGGUAGUAUCUUAUUGUGGUUUUGAUUUACAUCUCCCCAAUGACUAAUGAGUAAGCAUCUUUUCAGUGCUCAGUGGGCAUUUAUUUAUCUUCUUUGGAGAAAUGUCUAAUCAAGUCCUUUGCUCAUUUUUAAAACUUGAUGUAUUUUUUGUCUGUUGUUGUUGAAUUUUAGUUCUUUACACAUUCUGGAUACUAAAUCCUUAUCAUGUAUAUAAUUUGCAAGUUCUUUCUCCUAUUCUGUAGUUUGUCUUUUUACUUUUUUGACAGUACUCUUCGAUGUGCAAAAGUUUAAACUUUUUCUUGGCCACACCCCCUGCAUGCAGAAAUUCCCAGGCCAGGGACUGAACUCCGGCCACCAUAGUAUCUCGAGCCACAGAAGUGAUAACACCAGAGCCUUAACCUGCUAGGCCACCAAGAAUCUCCCUAAAAAGUUUUAAAUUUUGACGAAGCCCAAUUUAGCUAUUUUUUUUCCUUUUGUUACUUGUGCUUUUAGAUCAUAUACAAGAAUCUAUUGCCAAAUUCAAGGUUAUGGUAAUUGACCCUUACAUUUUUUCUAAGAGAUAAUGGCUUUAGUUAAUUCUUCCUUUUAGGUUAGUGAUCCAUCUUGAGUUAAUUUUUGUAUAUAGAAUGAAGUAGGGACCCAGCUUCAUUCUUUUGCAUACGGAUUCUGUUGCCCAACAGUAUUUGUUGAAGAAACUGAUCUUUCCUCAUUCAAUAGACUUGGCACCCUUGUCGAAAGUCAAUUGGCCAUAUAUGUUUGGGUUUAUUUCUAGACUCAUUGCUGUUCCAUUGAUUUAUAUGUCUAUCUUUAUGCCGUUAGCAUAUUGUUUGAUAACUACAACUGUGUAGUAAAUUUUGAUAUCAGGAGAUGUGAGGACUCCAGCUUUGUUCUUUUCAAGAUUCUUUUAGCUUUUUUGGAGCCCCUUGCAAUCCCAUAUGAGUUUGGGGAUCUGGAAAAAAAAAAUCCCUUGGACAUUUGAUAGGGAGAGCAUUGAAUUUGUAGAUCAUUUUGGGGAUAUUGCUGUCAAUAUUAAGUCUUCCAAUCCAUGAGCGUGGUUGCCUUCUCAUUUAUUUAGAUCCUCUUUAAUUUCUUAUAGCAAUCUUUUAUAGUUUUUAUUGUAAAAUAUUUUACCUCUAUGAUUAAGCAUAAGUUUAUAUAUCUUAUUCUUUUAGAUGCUGUUGAAAAUGGAAUUUCUCAAUUUCCUUUUCAGAUCAUUCGUUGCAGGUGUAUAGAAAUACAGAUGAUUUUUGUGUGUUGAUCUUAUACUUGCAACUUUGAUGGAUUUGUUUAUUAGCUCUAGUAGCUUCCGUGUGGAUUCUUUGUGACUAUCUCUAAUGUAGAAAACAAGCUAUGAAUGUUCUACUACUUCUUUCUCUUCAAUUUGGAUGUCUUUUAUUUCUUUUUAUUUUCUAAUUAUUUCCCCCAGAACUUCCAGUAUAAUGUUGAAUAGCUAUGGUGAAAGUGGGCAUCCUUUUCUUGUUCCUGAUAGAUAGUCUACUUUUAAGAUACUUAUUAAGUUGAUGGGAUUAGUAUACUCAUAAUAAAAUAUAUAAAAGAGCUUCCUCCCUCCCUCUCUCUCUCUCUCCCUCCAACCCCACAUCAUGUGAAGCUAUAACCACAAGAAGACAGCCAUCUACAUAACAGAAAGAUGAUGCUGUCCAGAACCUGACCAUGCUGACACCAUGAUCUUGGACUUCCCAGCAUCCAAAAAUGUGAGAAAUAAAUUUCUGCUGUUUAAGCUACUUAGUCUAUAAAAUUUCUUGUUACAGUUCAACUCCUAGCCAGAUUACCAUAAAUCCUUGAAGACCUAAUUACCUCAGUUCCUAUUACCUGAUACAACAUGUCCAACUUUUAACAAAAAGCUAUGCCGAAGACAAGAAAAAAAGUCAGAAAAGACAAAAUAAGCAUCAGAACUAGAUGCAGAUAUGAAACAGAUGUUAGAAUUAUCAGAGAAGUAAUUUUUAAAAAGCUUUUGAUUAAUAUGUCAGUGUUUCUAAUAGAAAAAGUAGGCAAUACGUAAGAAAAGAUGGAGAAUGUAGGCAGAGGGAAUUUUUUAAGGAGGUAAACUUAUUUCAUAUGAUAGAUUAAUGGUGAAUACAUGGCAUCAUGCUUUUGUUAAAACCAACAGAACUUUACAGUACAAGGAGUAAUCCUAAUGCAUGAAAGUUAAAAAUCAUUUAGGAGGUUACAAUAAAAUGCAGAACAUAGCCAAACAAAUUACAAAUGUAUGAGACAGCCUCACUACUGCAGUGGAAGUUUACAGGUAAUCAGUGGGAGCAGACUGGAGUAAUCAAUGUGGUAAUGGACUAGACAUGGAGAUGAAACGAUAAACUCAUGUUCAGCUUAAUGUAGAUACAAACGAUUACACAUAAACAUUUUUAAUUCUCUUUUUUUUUAAAAAAUGAAUUAUAGUUGAUUUAUACUAUUGUGUUAGUUUCAGGUGUACAGCAAAGUGACCCAGAUAUAUAUGAGCAUUUCUCAAACGUUCGGUACGUGGAAGAAACUUCUAGAAGUCCAUCAGUUCAGAGAAGAAGAAAAGCUUAAGGAGGAACUCUGUGACAGAAGCAAGCUCUCCAAUGUGAUGAAAAGCCCUGGCCCAAGGUAUGCUGGGAACUGUGACCUGGACCACGCCUGAGUGCCAGGCAACCAGUGCACCCCAUAAUGAGACACAGCGUGGGGUGGUGGAGCUGGGUGGGGGAAGCAGUCAAGAGGUCAGGAUUGGGCAGAAGUGCAAGUUAAAUAUCAGCUGGACCCACCAGGCCACCCAAAGAGGGAAACCUUGCAAUCAGCUUGCUCUGUACCAAAGCCUCUCUACUGCGUCCUGCAGCCACUGCCAUGACAGCCCUUAAGGAAAGCCCAGAGCCUGUAGGAGAGCUGGCCGUACAGAGGUGGAAGAAAAUAGCAAGCUUAGUGGAGACCCUGAGCCAGGAACAGCCCGCCGGGCCCAGACCUGCCCACCCCCAUUUACUUUUUAAUUUUCACUUUCACUUUUUAAUUUUCUUUUCAGAAUCAUCCCUAUGAAAUAUGCAAAUAAUUCAUUGAAAGUUAGGAAAUUUUCAAUCGUUCACAUUCCACGGUCAAGUAGUUUGACGUGGUUGCUUUCCUCCCAAUACCUAGCACAGAGCAGUUAGAAGGGUAAAUAUGCCGUCUGAUGGGCUACGAGGAGCAAAGUCAGUUAUAUAAUUGAUGACCUUUGGAGGCCUGGAGAAACUCUUAAAAUAAAUGGUGCCACCAGGGGAAGGGAGAAAGGUUAGAGGAGCUCUAAGGAUACCUGAGUCCGGGCCUCAGAUACAGCAGGAGGCAGAUGAGAGACAUAAGAAAGAGGAAAACAAAGGCUCUCUCUUGUCGCUGCUCCCCCAGGUUUCACUUAGGACCAGCUACGGGUCAAGAAGGAAGUGAAAGAUUCUUCCUUACUUUCAGUUCACUUCCUGUUCUUGAGAUCAAAGCCCAGACUGGUAGAAUUAUUUUCAUUUAUAAGUGGAUUUUCUUCUUUUUUUUUUUUAACUAAAAAAAUGGGGGAAUUUCCAUGUGGUACACCAGGUUAAGGAUCUGGCAUUGUCACUGCAGUGGCUCUGGUCGCUGCUGUGGCUCAGGUUCAGUCCCUGGCCUGGGAGCUUCUAUAGGCCAUGGGUACACCCCCACCCCACCCCCAUAAUGAAGCAGAAAAUAUUUCCAAUGGUUCAAAAAUCAAAAGGUACAAAAGGCACCUUCGGAUGCCACUUCCAGAUGACUGGGGAUCCUUCUAGGGCUGAAUAAUCCAAAUACAAAUAAGUAAACACUCACCAUACUCUUUGUUUAAGGUAUUUUUUAGAUUAUUAUUUUAAGGUAAUAGUUCAGGAACAUUAAGUUACAUUGGCCAUAGGCCCUGCCUGGGAACCUGACUACCAUGUAUAACAUUUUCUUCCCCCUGAAAGAAACUGUGUCCUCAGAGCCACAUAAUCAACCUAAAGGUACAUUUCUAGAACCAAGCACAUUCAUAAGUUGGAGACUUCCUAUUUAGAUCUGUAUUAAGUGGUGCUGAAUAAGCAAAAAUAUAAAGAAUGAGGCCAUGAAAAGUGAAAAGGGCCUGUGUAUGCCAGAUUAAAGCUUUCCCUGAUUUUUUUUUCCUCUCCAAAGUACCUUCAAGAUGGGCUUUUAGAAGUCAACAUUUACUGGGCUAAGAGCUGCCUAGUAAUGAGAGUGGGAAGAAACUUUCUCAUGUUAUCAGUAUUCUCCUUCCUCCCGCUAAAUAGCAGAGAUCUCGAUCCAAGGUGUUCAAAGGCUGUUCUCAAAAACCUUUUCCUCACAGCCGUCAACAGUUUCUGCAUCCAUGGAUGGAAAUCCAUUGAUUCCAGGCUUUCAUAUGGGAAAUACCUUAACAGAAUAAGGGGCCAAAUGUGUGGAUUUUGUUCAUGUCAUUAGCUGGCACAAAGUUUGUGUGGGUUAUGUCUGCAUGACCAGGUGAAGCAAGUGUCAGUGUGAUAGGAUCACUUCCAGAAACACUAAGACCACGUUGUGUUUGCAAAUCAUCCACCCUCCUAGUUUUGAAAGAAUAUCCAAUCAGGGGGCCUUGUGAUAACUUACCACACACACAUAUAACCACAGAUUUAUUACUAAGCCUGUGUAUGGACUUCAAUAAACAUCAUUGAAAGGAUGAACUUUUAGAUUUCUCACCAAUCAGGGCAAGAAGUGCAAUAAUAAAGGGGAAGCCAUUAAAUUCCCCCUUUGAAAUUGAUCAAACUUAAAAAAUCAACUCUUCCUUUCUUGACCAGAAUCUAUAGUUCAAUUAGAUUUGCUGCAAAAAGGAAACCUUGGUAUCAUAGAUUGACAACUGCGUGCAUGUUUUUCUAUCCUAGUAGAUUUCUAAGUUUCUUGAAGGCAAGGCUGCUAGAUCUUUCAGAGAGACAGUGAGAGAGAGAUACAAGACACUCAGACUUAAAUAUCGUACCGUAUCACUAUUAUUAUUCUUCACAGUGCUUAGAAGACAGAUUUGCACAUGGUAGUUUUUACCAAGUCACUUGUUCAACUGCAUCAGAGAUCAUUUCAACAUAUCAGUGUAUAAAUUUAGAGAAUACAUACACAGCACCAACCAGGUGUUAACCCUUCUUCCAAGUACUUUACAAAUAAUGACUUAUUGGCUGGGCAACCGAAUCAUGUAUAUAAAAACAUGCUCAGAUAGUAAUCUCCCUUUAGAAUUUUAGAUCAUCAUGGUACCUUCAUUCAUAGGGUCACAAUCUGAACUUGAUGGCGAUCAGAAUAAUGUUCUGUAUAUACAGUUCUUCCUUGACUAUAAAAGCAGUACAUUUACAAAUGAAAAAUUAGGAAAGGACAUAAGGUACAAAAAAAGGAUAAUAAAAUCACCCUUCAUGGAGGGAACUCCCACAUUUUUCAUUGGACAGAUAUUAUGAAUAUCUCUAAAGCAGCUGUCUGUAAUUUUUGCUCAUUCUAUCAAAAUAACCUCCCCAACCCUCAGUCAUUCUCUAUCCUGUCAUCCUGUGCUCUUCCUGGCAUUGCACUCAUCACUAUCUAAAAUUAUCUCAUUUAUUUCAUUUUUUUCCCUUUUUAUGGCCGCACCUUUGGCAGAUGGAAGUUCCCAGGCUAGGGGUUGAAUCCGCUGCAGGCAUAUGCCACAGCCAUGGCAACACUGGAUCCGAGCUGCAUCUAUGACCCAAGCCUCAGCUUGCACUGGAUCCUUAACCCACUGAGCCACAACAGGAACUCCUUAUUUAGUUUUAAUUUCUACUUUAUCUCCUGCUACUAGAAUUGAACUCCAGUGAAUGUCCCCAGUUCUGGGUAUGUAGUUGAUGCUCAAUAAAUGUUCCUUAUCGGAACUAAUCUUCUUUCUUGGUUGUGUAGAAGAUGAAUGUGAUCAAUUCAGCAUGAUAACUUCGAGCUUUGUGUUUUGGGUGUAGGUGCAACAUCUGACAUUAUUUUACUCAGCAUGGAAAAAAGUUAGAACUGGGGCUAAAUUUAUCUGAAGAAAUAAAUACCGAUGAAAUUAGUUAUGAUAAUUUUGCAAAAAAAAAGUUUUCAAAAUGCCUCUGACGUCUUGUUCACCGAGGGUUUUAAUGGAUUAAUCCUUUCCCUCCUGCUGAGACUUGACAACACAAAUCUUAAGUGAGAACAUAUUUAACAAGGUCAAUAGAAAAUGUCAUCCUCACAUGUCCUAUGAAGCCAAAGUUUUGAUAUUUCCCCAAAUGCUUAUUUGACAGAACAGCAUCAUUAGGCAUAAAAAAUUCAACAAGCCAAAGGAAUUCAGAAGACUAUGGGAAAAUAUAAAUAGAGGCAUCCGUUUAACAAUAAUUAGUUUCCAGAAAGAUUCCUUACCAUGGCCCUAGGACAUAUUGGAACCCAAAGAAAAGGGCCUGGUUUGGUUUAUGGACUUUUUUAAGGAACUAUAAUAGCAUCUUAUUUAUCUACUUCACAGGUAGAUAAGAUGCUAUUAUUGUUCCCAUAUUGUAGAGUUGAAAUCGUACGGCUCAAUAAAUGUUCAAUAAGCACCUAUUGUUUGCCCAGGUCAAAGCUACAUAAACCAUGCCUAAGAAAGAAAUCGGAGUUUGGUUUAUAGGAGCUUUAGAUAUAAUUUGGGAAGUUAAAAGAAAAUGUUUCAAGCAAUGAGAAGAAAGAGAACAAAAGCAAGUGGCACUCAUUUGUUAAGGAUGUCAGAGCUUAGGGCUGGGAGGCUGGGAGCAGGGGCAGGGGUAGCCAGCAUGGAGAAAUGGCAUGUCCAAAGGUGGGAGGGAAGCAGGGAAGGUCACAGUAACAAUGACAAUUGCAGUAUCACCUCACGUGGACUGAAUGCUUCCCCUCGGCAAGUACCAUGCUAAGUGCUUUGCAUAAACCCACUGAAAUCUCACAACAACCCUAUGAAAUUGCUCCUGCUAUAAUCCCCAUCUUGCAGAUGAGGAAACUGACCUGCAGGAUAAGAAAGCUGGCAAGUCUUAACAGCUGAUAGGAUUAGAGAAAGAAUGACACAGCUAGUCAUGACCAGAACCUGGCCUGGAAACAAACGCUGGAGAGAGACCCUGGCCCAGCUGGAGAAAUAGGUUCCAGUUGAAGAGAGUAAGGAUAAAGCCUGAAUGAUGAGACCAUCCCAGGUACAUAAAACUUUGAGUCUUCAUUUGGGUUGAGUCCUAUAGUCCUAUAGGCCAGCAGGUCUCCAAGUCCUUGGCUUUACAAUCCCUGAAGAGUCUUAACGAUUAUUGAGAACCCCAAAGAGCUUUUGUUUAUAUGGGUUAUAUUUAUUGAUAUUUAGCAUAUAGAAGUUAAAACCAAGGUAUUCCUAAAAUAUUGGUAUUUUAUAUUAAAUGACAAUGAUAAACCCAUUACGUACAACAUAAACAACACUUUAAUGAAGAAUAACUGUAUUUCCCAAAAACCAAAAAAAUUUAGUGGGAAAAGUAAUAUGUAUAUUUAAAUUUCUUUUGCAUCUGAGUUAAUAAAAGGCAGCUGGAAUCUCAUAUCUGCUUCUGCAAAUAAUCUGCUUUGAUAUGUUGUUUUGGUUGAAGCAUAUGAAUUGUCUGCUCUAACUCAGAUACAUAGUUGGUAAAAGGAGCAGUAGCUUAUAGCCUUUUUUAGAUAAUUAUGGAUAAUCCUUGAUACUAUGGUAAAGCUUGAAGAUUUGUAGUUUCCUUCCUCUCUUGAUUGUUAAGGUAUUAUUUAUAUACAUUAUUAUAUUCAUUUAGCAUAUUUUUGAGAUUCAUCCAUGUUGCAUAUAUUAUUUCUGUGUUCUUUUUAUUAAGUAGUAUUCCAUUGUAUAGAUAUACCACAAUUAGUUUAUAUUUUCACCAACCACUGAAUAUUUGAGUCACUUCCAGUUUAGGGCUAUAAACAAUAAUGCUGCUAUGAGCAUUGACAUAGGCACUUUUUUUUUUUGACUGUUCCCAGGCCAAGGAUCAAACACUUGCCACUGUGGUCACCCAAGCCACUGCAGUGACAAUGCCAGAUCCUUAACUCACUGCACCACAGGGGAACUCCAACAUAUGCAUUUUUAUGUAGAUGUUUACUUUCAUUCUCUUAGGUAAAUAAUUGCAGGUGGAAUUAAUGGAUCAUAUUAUCAAUAUGUUUAAUUUUAUUAAAUGCUGACAUACCGUUUCCUAAAGUGGCUGUACCAUUUAACACUCCAACCUACAACCCAUGAGCUCUCCAAAUGCUCCACAUCCUUGCUAAUACCUGGUAUUAUCCAUCUUUAUUACGUUAUCUAUUCAAGUAGCUUUGUAGUGAUUUCUCAUUUGCAUUGUGGGGCUUUUUUUUUUUUUUUUGGCCUUUUUAUAGCCAUCAAUCUUUAUUAUGUUAUCUAUUCUGGUAUGUUUGUAGUGAUUUUUCAUUUGCAUUUGUGGGUUUUUUUGGGUUGGUUUUUUUUUUUUUUGGUCUUUUUA